rnacentral:rRNA from 1 species
CCCCUAGAUGUUCUGGGCCGCACGCGCGCUACACUGAACAGUCCAACAAGUCUUAACCUUGGCCGAUAGGUCUGGGUAAUCUUUGAACGCUGUUCGUGAUUGGGAUAGACCUUUGCAAUUAUGGGUCUUCAACGAGGAAUUCCUAGUAAACGCAAGUCAUCAGCUUGCAUUGAUUACGUCCCUGCCCUUUGUACACACCGCCCGUCGCUCCUACCGAUUGAGUGGUCCGGUGAAAUCUUCGGAUUGCUGAUCAAAUUCCAGCAAUGGAGCUUGAUUGCGAGAAGUUGACUAAACCUUAUUAUUUAGAGGAAGGAGAAGUCGUANCA